UACGUAGGGCGCAAGCGUUGUCCGGAAUUAUUGGGGGUAAAGAGCUCGUAGGCGGCUUGUCGCGUCGGAUGUGAAAGCCCGGGGCUUAACCCCGGGUCUGCAUUCGAUACGGGCUAGCUAGAGUGUGGUAGGGGAGACUGGAAUUCCUGGUGUAGCGGUGAAAUGCGCAGAUAUCAGGAGGAACACCGGUGGCGAAGGCGGGUCUCUGGGCAACAACUGACGCUGAGGAGCGAAAGCGUGGGGAGCGAACAGG
rnacentral:rRNA from 1 species